rnacentral:rRNA from 1 species
GAUUAGAGUUUGAUCCUGGCUCAGAAUGAACGUUGGCGGCGUGGAUUAGGCAUGCAAGUCGUUCGUCCCGCAAGGGACGAGGCGCAAGGGUGAGUAAGGCGACGGUAACCAACCUCAAGGGUGGGGAUAACCAUGGGAAACCGUGGAUAAUACCCAGCGACGUCGGUGGGGGGCAUCUCCCGCCGACCAAAGGUGCGAAUCCGCCUUGAGACGGGCCGUUGUGGUAUCAGGUUGUUGGCGGGGUAACGGCCCACCAAGCCUGGGACGCCUACCGGGCGUGCGAGCGUGGCCCGGCACGCUGGGACUGAGACACUGCCCAGACACCUACGGGUGGCUGCAGUCGAGAAUCUUCGGCAAUGGGCGCAAGCCUGACCGAGCGACGCCGCGUGGAGGACGAAGGCCUUCGGGUUGUAAACUCCUGUCGAGGGGGAACAAGGGCCGGUGGAGAAUCGGCCUUGAGGAUCCCUGAGA